UACGAAGGGGGCUAGCGUUGUUCGGAAUUACUGGGCGUAAAGCGCACGUAGGCGGGUCGUUAAGUCAGGGGUGAAAUGCCAGAGCUCAACUCUGGAACUGCCUUUGAUACUGGAGACCUCGAGGCCGGAAGAGGUUAGUGGAAUUCCCAGUGUAGAGGUGAAAUUCGUAGAUAUUGGGAAGAACACCAGUGGCGAAGGCGGCUAACUG
rnacentral:rRNA from 1 species